GACGAACGCUGGCGGCGUGCUUAACACAUGCAAGUCGAACGGACAGGCCCUGCUCUUGUGGGUUGCUCGAGUGGCGAACGGGUGAGUAACACGUGAGUAACCUGCCCUUGUCUUUCGGAUAACUUCAGGAAACUGGGGCUAAUACCGGAUAUGAGCUCCUGCUGCAUGUUGGGGGUUGGAAAGUUUCGGCGGUUGGGGAUGGACUCGCGGCUUAUCAGCUUGUUGGUGUGGUAGUGGCUUACCAAGGCUUUGACGGGUAGCCGGCCUGAGAGGGUGACCGGCCACAUUGGGACUGCGAUACGGACCAGACUCCUACGGGAGGCAGCAGUGGGGAAUAUUGCACAAUGGGCGGAAGCCUGAUGCAGCAACGCCGCGUGCGGGAUGACGGCCUUCGGGUUGUAAACCGCUUUCGCAUGUGACGAAGCGUGAGUGACGGUAAUGGGUAAAGAAGCAACGGCUAACUACGUG
rnacentral:rRNA from 1 species